AAAAAAAAAAACACACGUAUAUGGCACAACACAAUCACAGUUUAAAAAUUGUGAGUUGUUGUGUGAGUCGAUAUUGGUCCUUUUCAAGGCGUGCACUGAAACGUGAUCCCCUGGUGACAGAUGUGGUGCGUCACGGCCCCUGGUGACAGGUGUGGCCCCUGGUGACAGAUGUGGCCCCUGGUGAAUGAGGACCUCCCGGUGUCUGUCAUCACGAGUGACUGAUGAAUGACCAGAAGCGCUGCUAAUACUGUUGUAAACACAAAGACUCUGAGUUUAUUAAGGUCUACUCUGAUCUCCUCCGCACCCCUGUUAAACACAGAGACUCUGAGUUCAUUAAGGUCUACUCUGAUCUCCUCCGCACCCCUGUUAAACACAGUGCUUUUUCUCAACAGUUCAUGGGUGAGUUUUUCACUUUGGUUGAUUUGUUCAGAGAAAAAGAAGGUUGUGCAAAAAGAUGUCCUAUAACGAAAAAACUCCUGCCAAGAAAAAGAAAAAAAAAUGAAAAGCCUAUACCACAUCAACGUACCUCAGUAUACUGCAUAGAUAAUUAACACUGUGAAUAUUUAUGUCGUAGUGCUUUGCUUUGUGUGGUAACACAAUCCUCCAUUGAGUCCAUAAGAUGUGUGUUUAGCUCUUGUGCCACUGAACAGUUGCUAUCCUCUAGAACACGCAUUAGUUUGUGUCCCGAACCACCAAACGUCCAAAAAGGUUUUGAAGAAUGAAGUAAUCGUGCUUCACUACUACCGGUGUGGUUGGUUUUAAGGUGGUACUAGUCAUUGGCAAGUGAACUUGCACACUUUGUUCUUCUUUUACCAAUUCAAGUUUUUUUUCUGCUCCGGGGAGAAAUUGUUUUGUUUUCAGUGCAAAAAAGGGAGCAGUGACCGUUGGUUUCUGAUAAACAAACUUCUAUAACUCUUCCCGUCAGAGUCAAGUCAAAUACAUUAGUUAUACUUUACUAAGUAUUUAUUAACAUUAACAAAUUCUAAGCAAAUGCUCAGUAUUGAUUAACUUAGUUAAGUGGAGUUUGUGGUUCAUUUAUAUUAUCUAAUGAAUUACCCGUUCACAUCACAGACAUCUUAAUUAACCUCGUCCAUUGCAUUGGUUAGCAAGAAAUUGACACGAACAAAUAUUGAGUAAUAUUUAUGUUAUACUUAAUGUUUUGUUGAUGUUAACAACUGCAUGUCAAUGAAGGGAACCUGAAUGUAUAGUGUUACCCAAAGUCUAAGUCGGUCUCAGGACAGAACUGAGAUUGAUGAGAGAGCUUUGGAACAAACACAAAGUGGCCAUGUCAUGGCUCUUCAAAAGUGCUCUUUUCGUGAAGAAACCAUCUUGCAGAUUGCUGCUGAGGCAUUUGUCACUUCUGUGUUGGUUUGGAUUUCAAGUUCACGUUUUACAAUGCCGUCUACCUAUUACACAAUGAAGCCAUAUGAAAUAUUUUGAUAUCAAUAUCUCACAAGCAAAUCACAUUGUUGAAUUAGACUUCUUUCUUAGUUUAAGUGUGUGUGGCAAUGUGAUAUUGAGUGUUUUUCUACCAAGUUCUCCCCCUACUGGCCCUGAGUGGGUACUGACACAUCAGCAACACCUACAGUAUAUAAGUCUACACAUAUGGAAGUAUAGCGUAAUUUUCCUCCAUAACAAUUUAGGUAUAUCUGAAUAUGGGCUGCAACACGUAUUGAGGGAAGUCAAGAUGUAACCCCCUGACUUUAAUGACAAUUGUAGUUUUGUGCCAAAUUGUAAAUCACAAAAAUGUAUUGAAUCUGUUUAACAUUCAUUUAAAAUGAUGCAUUAUAAAUGCACUUAUCUCAGUGAUUAUGUUUUAGUAUAGACUUUGUGAGAAAUGUUGCCAAGUGUUCAUCAGGGUCUGUGUUUCAUGUGCCAAACCUUCUCUUUUGAACUAAACAAACAUUGUGACAAUUCAUCCUUUUUCUAUAGGAACUGAAGCCUGGCGUAUGGAGUGUGUUAUUUUUAUACUACUAUAUUGAUUGUACAGGUGUGUGCCAAGGUAUAUGUAAAAAAAAAAAAAGGAUCAUUCUAACAUUAAGAAUAUAACUCUUCUGAUCUGGCCUUUUAAAAUGAAUUAAUGUGUUUUGAUCAUCUGGGUAAAAACAGCCAAUAGACAUAUUCCUCUGCGUCUGCUCCGCGGACAGCAUCUGGGACAGGUGCAGAUGGAUUAGGGCCUUGAAGGGUCAUGGGACUUACCAGAGCAAAGUUUGCCCACAAAGUCAGUCACUAGCUGGGUUUCCAUCCACAUUUAUUAAUGCGAAUUUGGACCAUUGCGUGGGUCAAUGGGUGAAAGAGUUCAGAGCAUCCACUCACAAGAGGAUGUCCAGUGCCACACUGAUGUGCCUAUCAUGAUUCAGUCAUUCUCACAGACUCAUCACACAGUGAUUGAACAGCGAACUGUGAAUACAGUAAUUAAAACAGCCCAGUGGUCAUUCUCACAGACUCAUCACACAGUGAUUGAACAGUGAACUGUGAAUACAGUAAUUAAAACAGCCCAGUGUCAAGGAGAGACCCUGGCAUGUAAACCAACACUAACUCCCUCGUAGAAUAUUUGCUGCAAAUACUAUUGCAUUUAAGUUUGUUGUCCGUCGUGUAGAUAUUUGCUGGCAAAUAUGAGCUGUGCUGAGGGUGAGUGGAUUAUGUUUGUUUUAAUCCAUGUCGUGUUUGAAGCAUUUUUUAGUCCAUGACUCUUUGCCAAGUGUUGUAGUCUCUUUUGGUAUUCAAAAACGGGCUUCAAUUUGACAUUUUUCUAAUGCUAUGAACGUUGCCAUGGAUACGGAAUAGCAUUCCAAAAAUGUCAAAUGUUUGUCAACAUCGAUGUCAUUGGGUGUUAUAUGUGCCAUAUUGUCUCUUAUAAAAUAUUAUUUGAUACUAUAAAGCAUUCAUGCUGAAGCUUUUGUACUCUGUUGUCCAAAUGUAAAGUUCUAUAUUAAUAUCAUUAAUAUUGUUAUACAGUGUUGUCAAGGAAAAGUUUGUACUCAAAAACAUUAAAGAAUUUUUGUACGGUCUGACAGUGUUUUGAGGCUUGCGUUGGUGACGUUCUGUUGUUUUAAUAUUGAAAUAUGUCCUGUUGGAAUAAAUGUGCAAAUUCA